GCAUGGGGGUGUGCGUGGGGGGGCUCCUUUUGGGGGUGGGGGGCGGACAGGAUUAGUUCCAGGGACGGGAGAAGCUCGGUUCUGGCUGGGGGCGGGGUGGGGGAGAUGCCCUUAGCUGCAAAAGCUCCCGGCGGCCAGGCAGGCUGCUGGCCUCGGUGGGCUCACGGAGCGGAGAAGGGGGUCGGGCUGCAGGAGGAGGCGCCUGGACCUCCAGAGCAGAGUCGGGUAGCGGUCCGUGCCGGGACGGGCGACCAGUCCGCGCCGGGACAAUACAAGCGCCUCGGACCGAGUCCCCGAACCUGCCCUAGCCAAAAUGGCGGCCGAGAAAGAGCGGAAGUGACGUUAAAGAGGCUUUUGCGCACUGGAGAUAUAAGCAAAAAAGGUAUAAGGUGACUUUAUGCAGAGAUCGAAGGAUGAGCAGCAGAUGGUCAUCAAGGAGCAUGGAAACAGCAUUUCAGGCAGAGAAGCAUGCUUAUGGCAUGGAAAGGAAAGGAAGGAGCACAAGACAGAGGAAGGAGCACAAGACAGAGGUCAGAAAGGGAGGCAGAGGCCAACAAACACAUAGGGGCUUGAGGGACAAGGGAAUGAGCUUGAAUUUUUCCCUAGAUGUUAGCGGGAACUCCCUGAACUAUUCUAAACUGGAGGGCCAAUAAUCUGAUUGUUUUUGUGUAUCUAGCUUAAACUCAGAACAGCUUCCAAAAUCUUAUUCACAGAGGUUUUGUGAUCUUUGGGCUAAGAAUAUAAUUAUAUUGCCUACAAAUAAAUUAUGUAUACUUUACUAAUAUUUAACUAAAUUCUUGUGUUACUGUAUUAACAUUUCCAUGUUUAAUGAUAGCUAGCAUGCCUAUCUUAAUGAAUUUACUGGAAAUGAUUCAGCAUUUCACUAUUUGGUGUGAUAUUUGUAUUAGGACUGGGUUAUUUUUAUUAUGCUUAAGAGGUUUCCUUCUAUUCUUAAAGUUUUAACUAGAAAAUGGUAGUAAAUAAUAUCUCCUUUAGCAUCUACAGAGUUAACCACACUACUCUGUUCAAAGAUAAUGAAUGAAUUAUGAGUGAUUACCAAUAAUGAGCCAUUCUGGCAUUCCUGGAAUAAACUCUUUUGCUCAUGGUG